GAUAGGUUGGAGACCUCUGUGAUGUCCUCUUACUACUGGGGAUGGGCUAAGGCUAAUACCUAUCUCUGCAAAUCUAAAACUCUAUCCGUCAGUCUCAGAAUAUAUCCCUCAAGCUGCUCAAGUCGUGCAGACUGAACUAUAAGCAUCUGAAAGACAGUAGAGAUAUGAGGGAUCAAAGUCUAGUCUGAAACAGCCUAAGAUGUCAUCCUCUGAGCAAAACCUGAGGUGGCAAACUAUUGGGAUAA
rnacentral:lncRNA from 1 species